UACGUAGGGGGCGAGCGUUGUCCGGAGUUACUGGGCGUAAAGCGCACGCAGGCGGUCUGCUAAGUUUGGAGUGACAGUUGGUGGCUUAACUGCCAAAGUGCUUCGAAAACUGACAGACUUGAGGGCUUCAGAGGGACACGGAAUUCCGGGUGGAGUGGUGAAAUGCGUAGAUAUCAGGAGGAACACCUGUGGUGUAGACAGCUUACUGGACCAUUUCUGACGCUGAGACACGAAAGCGUGGGUAGCAAACAGG
rnacentral:rRNA from 1 species